rnacentral:rRNA from 1 species
CCACGCCGUAAACGAUGAGUGCCAGAUGUCGGGGGUCAAACCUCGGUAUCGCCGUUAACACAAUAAGCACUCCGCCUGGGGAGUACGCACGCAAGUGUGAAACUCAAAGGAAUUGACGGGGACCCGCACAAGCAGCGGAGCAUGUGGUUUAAUUCGAAGCAACGCGAAGAACCUUACCAGGACUUGACAUACUAGUGCCAGGUAUAGAGAUAUACCCUUAUCUUAGAUACACUAAUACAGGUGGUGCAUGGUUGU